rnacentral:rRNA from 1 species
GGGUCAGUAGGUUGGUCGUGCCACCGGUACGUACUGGUCUCACUGAUUCCUCCUUCCUGAAGAACCGUAAUGCCAUUAAUUUGGUGUUGCGGGGAAACAGGACUGUUACUUUGAAAAAAUUAGAGUGUUUAAAGCAAGCUAACGCUUGAAUACAUUAGCAUGGAAUAAUGUAAUAGGACGAUCGAUCCUAUUUUGUUGGUUUCUAGGAUUGACGUA